rnacentral:lncRNA from 1 species
AGUGCUUCAGGCCGAGGUCCAUCCGCCGAGGCUCCUCGAUCCGAUGUACGCGAGUCUGCCGAAGUCCAACUACCGAGGCCCAUGACCCGAAGCAUGGAACCUGUUGAAUGUAGCUGAGGUCCUCAAGUGGAAGUAUUUGUCAAAUGGUCGAAGCCCCGAAGCUGAUGCACGAGCCUCUUAACCACAAAGAGCUUCCUCCACAGUCACU